UACGGAAGGCAGCAGUGGGGAAUAUUGCACAAUGGGCGCAAGCCUGAUGCAGCCAUGCCGCGUGUAUGAAGAAGGCCUUCGGGUUGUAAAGUACUUUCAGUCGUGAGGAAGGUGUUAAGGUUAAUAACCUUAGCAAUUGACGUUAGCGACAGAAGAAGCACCGGCUAACUCCGUGCCAGCAGCCGCGGUAAUACGGAGGGUGCGAGCGUUAAUCGGAAUUACUGGGCGUAAAGGGCGCGCAGGCGGUUAAUUAAGUUGGAUGUGAAAUCCCCGGGCUUAACCUGGGAAUGGCAUUCAAGACUGGUUAGCUAGAGUCUUGUAGAGGGGGUAGAAUUCCAUGUGUAGCGGUGAAAUGCGUAGAGAUGUGGAGGAAUACCGGGUGGCGAAGGCGGCCCCUGGGACAAAGGACUGACGCUCAUGUGCGAAAGCGUGGGGAGCAAACAGGGAUUAGAUACC
rnacentral:rRNA from 1 species